rnacentral:rRNA from 1 species
GACGAACGCUGGCGGCGUGCUUAACACAUGCAAGUCGAACGGAAAGGCCCUGCUUUUGUUGGGUUCUCGAUUGGCGAACGGGGGAGUAACACGUGAGUAACCUGCCCUUGACUUUGGGAUAACUUCAGGAAACUGGGGCUAAUACCGGAUAGGAGCUCCUGCUGCAUGGUGGGGGUUGGAAAGUUUCGGCUGUUGGGGCUGUACUCGCGGCUUAUCAGCUUGUUGGUGUGGUAGUGGCUUACCAAGGGUUUGACGGGUAGCCGGCCUGAGAGGGUUACCGGCCACAAUGGGACUGAGAUACGGACCAGAAUCCUACGGGCGGCAGUAGUGGGGAAUAUUGCACAAUGGGCGGACGCCUGAUGCAGAAACGCUGGGUGCGGGAUGCCGGCCUUUGGGUUGUAAACCGCUUUCGAAUGUGACGAAGCGUGAGUGACGGUAAUGGGUCAAGAAGCACCGGCUAACUACGUG